UAGCAGUUACCUCAAUGAGGACGGGAAG
rnacentral:piRNA from 1 species